CUCCUUUUUUUUAAUUAAAUAAAAAAAAAAAAAUCAUUUACUUUGUAAUUAAAAGUAGGCUGAAAAAAAAGUAGGCUGACAUUUUUUUUACAUGUAUUUUAAAGAGACAAAACCCAAACCCUAUUUACAUUUCCUCUAAACCCAUAUCCCCACCGUUCACCGCCUCUCUCUCUCUCUCUAUCUUAACAGCUGAAAUUACUCUAUCCUAACAUCCGAAAUCUUCGCCGUCGAUGACUCCUCCAUCUUCCAAGGAGGCCACUCCUAAAUUCACGGCUUUCGCUUCUCUUCGUUUUAAAUGUGGUAAUUUUUAUAACUUUUGGGUUUAUUAACUUCAGAUCUUGUGGGUGAUGUGAAUUUUAGAGCCGCGAAGUUUUUGUUGCCUAUUGGCGGUGUUAGUGGUCGGUCCUGCUGCCGGUUAUAAUGGAGGCGCGAUUGUUACAUCAUCUCAGUUUGGUGGUUAUGUGGGCUGUAGUGAUGUGGAUGCGACUUCUAUUGGUUUGUGGGCUGACAACAAUCUCUAAGCCCCUUCUAUUUCACAUUUCCUCCAAAACCUAAGUUCCAAUUUACUCUCUUUCUUUGUAAAUUAUCCAAAUUUCAAACUUAUUAAUUGUUUUAGUUUGUCGUUUGCCAAUUUUUUCAGGGUUUCAAGACAAGAAAAUUAAGUUUAUGGUGUCUCAGCGAAGAAAUGGGUCUGACCCAUCUUCCAAGCCUGGGUACUGCAUUUUUCAUAAUUCUUCAAUUAUGAGUGUAUAUUAUUUUCUUUGAUAUUUGUUAUUAUUUUCUUCAAUUAUGGCUGAUUUGGGUGUAAAUUGCUACUGUUUUACUGCUAUUGCGGCUCGGUGGCCAGUUGUACUGUUGCGGUGUUAAUUUUUUUUGUUGUCAUUUAAGUUUUUAAUUUCUGUUUUUGCUAAGUUAAUAGCUAAUUUAAAACUUUGUUUAAUAUUUUUUCGUAAUAAUUGUGUGCUAAUUUUGUUAUGUCUUUGAAAAUUUUUCAAGAUAAAAAUUGAACAAUAAUGAUUUUUCUUGUUGAAAUAUUCAGUUGGCGUGAGAUAGUUAUGCGUGGAAGAUAUGCUUAGAAGGCCUUGAUUUUUGCAUUAAUGAAUUAUUUUUUGUACAUAUGAAUUUUGUAUAAUUUUGGAUAGAAUAUUGAUUGUAGUAUUAAUGAGUUUUUUAGUAUUGGUUUUGUAUAAACUAUGUGUAUAAUUUUUAGUAUUAAUGAUUUUUUUUGGUUUGAUUCAAAUUAUAUAUAUUAAAAUAUGAAUAAUUUUUUUUUUAAUAAAAAAGAAGAAAGAGACUAUCUAUUUGAAAUAGGUGGUCCCAGUUUUUGAAAAAUUGAGACCAUUUAGUUGAAAUAGGUGGUCUUAGUUUUUUAAAAAUGAGACCAUCUAUUUGAAAUAAGUAGUCUUAGUUUUUGAAAAAACUAAGACCACCUCUUUUAAAUAAGUGGUCUCACUUUUAAAACAAGAGAUCACUUUUGAUGAAAUGGACUCUUAGGCCAAAGAGACCUGGGAGCUAGAGACCACCCCAAAGGUAGUCUCUUUGGCCAUUUUAAUAUGGUCUCUUAGGCCAAUUUUGUAGUAGUGAAUGUUGGUCGAAUGCACGCUAUGUUGCGCGAUAGAGAGCUUAGAAAGCCCCUCAACGAUAAGCCCAAAGAGGUAAAGGCUGCUAAAGCUCGGGCCGCCUCCUCCUUAGACACAACUCAGUUUUAGAUCGCCAAAAUGAACUACUGACACUUGAUAUGAUGUAUUCCCAAGCGUCAGCCAAUCUGCAGGUCACACAAGACUUGGACGCAGCGAGGGGGCGGAUUUCCGAGCUUCAGAAGGAGGUUCAGAAUCUGCAGGUGAAUAAUCAAGUCAAGUUGUGCAUGUAGAAGGCUGCCCUUCUCACGGGUAUCACCUCGAGUGCGCUGAUGAUAGGGAUGCUCGGGAGCGCAGACGAGCUGCACCAACUUCUCAACCACUCAAGUGUUCCCCAGCUCCCGCAAUCGACUCUUGGCAGCCCUCGCAACACCCAAAACAAAAAACAAUCAGCCGACAUAUUCAAGCCACAAACCACCACCUUUCUCACCUCCAAAAUCAGCCACCAAUACAACCUUAUAUCAGCCGCACUCCUCCACUCACACACCUCCUUAUUUCCCCAAUUCACAAGCAACUAUAACAACUCCUAGCAGCCUCGACAUCACCUAAAAUCUGCCACCAACAGCAGCUCGCUGCCUCCCCUGCUCCGCCGGCCUUGUAACCAUUUUCUACCAUAUGUGGAACUCCUUCACCACAGUUCAGCACCCAAAGCAGCCCCUUGUCAUGAGUUCAUUUGCUUUGAAUAAAUUCACUCCUAUUUUGCUAGCAUAUGAAAAAUAAUAUUCAAUGAUAGAUGAACUUUGCUUUCACUGUUUAAUUUGGGUCAUUUGCGGGUAUUUACACCUACCUAACAUCCGGUAAUAUCUUUCCUUGCUCUUUCUCUAAUUGUUUAUGCCUUGUUGGAUAUGUGUUGGUAUUGUUGGAUUGAUCUCUUUGUUUUCCUCUCCCGUUGAUUAUUUGAUUUAUGAUUUGAGCAUGUUGUCUCAUUCAAGCUUGGGGGAGAGUAUUCUAUCAUGUUUGGUGGGAUGUCAAUUUACAUAUGCCAUGCACAUUUGUAUAUGCAUUUCCAUGUUCUUUAUAUUAAAAAACUCCAAAAAGAUUUUUGUUUCUUUCAAGGAAAAUUUGCAUUGUGUUUUGUUUUGUUCAUGCUUUGGACAUAAUACUUUUGUACUUGUAUAGUUGAAUGUUUUUCUUCUUUAAUGGUAUCGGUGUGCACGGUUUGAGAGUACAUAUAUUUGGACGACUCUAGGAUAGGACAUGCUAAGGUAGUCAUUUAGAAGUUUUUGGACCUUGAAGCCGGAUUCUCUUAUUUUUGAAAACUCGCAAUUGUUCCCCUUUGAUGAAUUUGAUGCUUUUAGUGAGUUUUUGCCACAACCUUGUGAGGUUUCUUAGUUUUCAAGGCUACUUCAAUUACUUGUUUUAGCGGCAUGGAUCCUUGACUAUUGCGGACCUUAUCUUGAAAAUUGACUCAUAAUUCUCAAACACGAGACCGAGCCUUCUAGGGAGGACAAAGGCAUCUUUUCGGGGUGGUAAUGUUUCUUUUCUAGGUUAAUCUUCUUUAUUUUUAGUUCUUGGGUUCACGUUUGCCUACUUGCUAACCAUUUGAGUCUUUUCCACUAGUGGAAAAAAUCUUAUUUGUAACAAGCUAUUCGUAACGGGCAUAUGAUUUCCCGUUACAAUUACAUCAUUUGUAACGGGCAAAUUCAAUGUCCGUUACGAAUAACCAACUAGUCGUAACCAACAAGUCUUGCCCGUUACGAAUAACCAACUAGUCGUAACCAACAAGUCAUGCCCGUUACGAAUAACCAACUAGUCGUAACCAACAAGUCUUGCCCGUUACGAAUAACCAACUAGUCGUAACAGGCAAAACUUGCCCGAUACAAUACAAUAUGCGAAAUUACGGAGUAGAUGUUAAAAAACCCUAGCCGUCUAACUUCACUUUUCUUAUUUUCCUCUCCUCCUCUCUCUCUCCUCAAUUGACUCUUUCUCUCUCUUCUCAUACGAUUUAGCUUUCUCUCUCUUCUCAUUCUUGCAAUGGAAAGUUGGAAACUGAGCUAUUUUGGGUCGAAAUAUGCUAUAAUGUCGUCUAGGAAGCUAGGGAAUUGAAUGUUGCCCCUCAAACUUCCAAGGUAUUCUAUAUUUUUGGUGUUUUGAUAUUAAGUUUUUUAAUUUUUGGUGUUUUUUUCGCUAGAUCUGGAGCAAAAUAUUGUUUUUUUUUUCUUUCUUAAUUCCCCCAAAUCGAUUUCUUAAUUAAGGUUCCCUCAUUUUUUGUUGAAUUGCUUUUUCGUAAGCCCCAAUUUGCAGAUUUUCAUCGGGGGGAAAAACCUUAAUUUUUUUUAUUAGAAUUCUUUUUUUUUUUAUUAUUUUGAAUUUGAUUUUUCCAAUUGUUUUAUUUUUUUGAUGAAUCCUAAACCCUAAUUUCAGUAUAGUUAAAUCGAUUUUAAAGUUGAAUAGAGAUGAAGCUAUCAAAGAGGAUGAAGAGAAAAGUGUAGCCUUCAAAGCAGCAAAGUAUGUAGCAGUAUUUCUGGAAAUACGAAAAGAAUUAGUGUUGAGGGUGAGGAAGAAAAAAUUACUAGAUCUGGAUUUUGUUCUAUGAAUUAUAUUUGUGAUUGUUGAAUUUUUAAGAUCAUAGAUUAUAAAAUAAUGGUACAAUUUGAUCUUUAUAAGUGUUGGCCUUAUUGAUUUCAGCUUGUUUGUGACAGGUAUGUAUUUCUCGUGAUUCUUUGUUCAAAAUGUGUGCCGCUAGUGCCAAGAACAACUGAAGAAGGUUCGGAGGUAGAAGCAUAAGUGCAUGCUGAUGGUGGUGUGCUGUUGGGUUGCAUGUUUACAAUGUAGGCUGAAAAGGUAUUCAAUCAAGAUCAGUACUUCAAGAAAGCUGUCAAGUAUGUGGGAGAGACAAUGUAUUACGCUUGUAGGUGCAUGUUGCCUUGAAGCAUAUGUGCAUGAGGAAUGGCAACUCCAUGAUGGACCUUUCAAAUUCACAUCUACGGCUCUACAUGUUUACCUAUUGAACAUGAGAUGGAUGCUUUACUUUUGGGCAUUGAGAAUCUACCAGAUGUUCAGAGUAUUAUUCAUAUAGUAGCUUUUGACUCAUGUUAGGGAGUUGUUGUAAAUUCAAUUUGGACAUUUGUUAAAGUUUGUAUCUUUGAUUUUAUAAUUAAUUAAAUUUUACAUUUAUUAUUAUU